CCUACGGGUGGCUGCAGUGGGGAAUUUUGGACAAUGGGCGCAAGCCUGAUCCAGCCAUUCCGCGUGAGUGAAGAAGGCCUUCGGGUUGUAAAGCUCUUUCGCAAGGGAAGAAAACUUAUCCUCUAACAUAGGAUGAGGUUGACGGUACCUUGAUAAGAAGCACCGGCUAACUACGUGCAAGCAGCCGCGGUAAUACGUAGGGUGCGAGCGGUAGUCGGAAUUACUCGGCGUGAUUUGUACGUCAGCUGUGAAAUCCCCGAGCUCAACUUGGGAACUGCGUUUGAAACUACAAGACUAGAAUAGGUCAGAGGGGGGUAGAAUUCCACGUGUAGCAGUGAAAUGCGUAGAGAUGUGGAGGAAUAUCAAUGGCGAAGGCAGCCCCCUGGGAUCAUAUUGACGCUCAUGCACGAAAGCGUGGGGAGCAAACAGGAUUAGAUACCCCUGUAGCC
rnacentral:rRNA from 1 species